rnacentral:rRNA from 1 species
GUAAUGGCUCACCAAGGCUCGACGGGUAGCUGGUCUGAGAGGAUGAUCAGCCACACUGGGACUGAGAUACGGUCCAGACUCCUACGGGAGGCAGCAGUGGGGAAUAUUGCACAAUGGGCGCAAGCCUGAUGCAGCAACGCCGCGUGCGGGAAGAAGGCCCUAGGGUUGUAAACCGCUUUCAGCAGGGAAGAAAAUGACGGUACCUGCAGAAGAAGGUGCGGCCAACUACGUGCCAGCAGCCGCGGUGACACGUAGGCACCAAGCGUUGUCCGGAUUUAUUGGGCGUAAAGAGCUCGUAGGCGGCUCGGUAAGUCGGGUGUGAAAACUCUGGGCUCAACCCAGAGAGGCCACCCGAUACUGCUGUGACUUGAGUACGGUAGGGGAGUGGGGAAUUCCUGGUGUAGCGGUGAAAUGCGCAGAUAUCAGGAGGAACACCAGUGGCGAAGGCGCCACUCUGGGCCGUAACUGACGCUGAGGAGCGAAAGCAUGGGUAGCAAACAGGAUUAGAUACCCUGGUAGUCCAUGCCGUAAACGUUGGGCACUAGGUAUGGGGUC